AUUGAACGCUGGCGGUAUGCUUAACACAUGCAAGUCGAACGGUAGCAGGCCUUCGGGCGCUGACGAGUGGCGGACGGGUGAGUAAUGCAUAGGAAUCUGCCUAUUAGUGGGGGAUAACGUGGGGAAACUCACGCUAAUACCGCAUAAGCCCUACGGGGGAAAGCGGGGGACUUUCGGGCCUCGCGCUAAUAGAUGAGCCUAUGUUGGAUUAUCUAGUUGGUAGGGUAAAGGCCUACCAAGGCUACGAUCCAUAGCUGGUCGGAGAGGAUGAUCAGCAACAUUGGGACUGAGACACGGCCCAGACUCCUACGGGAGGCAGCAGUGGGGAAUAUUGGACAAUGGGCGAAAGCCUGAUCCAGCAAUACCGCGUGUGUGAAGAAGGCCUGAGGGUUGUAAGGCACUUUCAAUGGGAAGGAAUACCUACCGGCCAAUACCCGGUAGACUGACAUUACCCAUACAAGAAGCACCGGCUAACUCCGUGCCAGCCGCCGCCGUAAUAC
rnacentral:rRNA from 1 species